UACGGAGGAUCCAAGCGUUAUCCGGAUUUAUUGGGUUUAAAGGGUGCGUAGGUGGGAUAAUAAGUCAGAGGUGAAAGCUAGCAGCUUAACUGUUAAAUUGCCUUUGAUACUGUUAUUCUUGAGUGUAGUUGGCGUUGGCGGAAUGUGACAUGUAGCGGUGAAAUGCGUAGAUAUGUCACAGAACACCGAUCGCGAAGGCAGCUAACGAAACUAUCACUGACACUGAUGCACGAAAGCGUGGGGAGCAAACAGG
rnacentral:rRNA from 1 species